GACGAACGCUGGCGGCGUGCUUAACACAUGCAAGUCGAACGCUGAAGCACCAGCUUGCUGGUGUGGAUGAGUGGCGAACGGGUGAGUAAUACGUGAGUAACCUGCCCUUGACUCUGGGAUAAGCCCGGGAAACUGGGUCUAAUACUGGAUGCUACAUGUCACCGCAUGGUGGUGUGUGGAAAGGGUUUACUGGUCUUGGAUGGGCUCACGGCCUAUCAGCUUGUUGGUGAGGUAAUGGCUCACCAAGGCGACGACGGGUAGCCGGCCUGAGAGGGUGACCGGCCGCGUGGGGACGGAGAACGGGCCCAGCUCCCGGGGGGGGGGGGGAGGGGGGAUAUUGGAACAAGGGGGAAAGGCUUGAUGCGGCGCGGCGGGGGGGGGGAUGCCGGCUUUGGGGUUGAAACCCUCUUCCGGCAGGAAAGAAGCAAAAAGGGACAGUCCCUGAAAAAGAGGCGCGGGCAAAUUACGGC
rnacentral:rRNA from 1 species